UGUUGUGUUUGUUGAUUGUAUUAAAUUGUGUUUAGAUAAAAAUAAAUUAUUCUACUCUUGGUCUGCAUUGUAAUUUAGUGUUAAAUUAUUAUUGUGAUUUGUGAUUUAAUCUAAUGCCAAAUCAUGAUUCUCUUGGCAGUUUCAACUCAAACUUACCAUAAGGAUUGUAAACGUAAAGAUGGUCAAUUCGUGAAAUAUUCAGAUAAAUGAUUUACUUCAAACUGGAUAACGGGAUUUCAAUAUUGUGAUUGAGGACCUUUUCCUUGUGGCAAAAAGCAUGCUUACAUAAAGACAGUAAACAAACAAAACAAUGAAGUUUUGUUGCUCUCUUGUUGGGAUUCAACUGGGAAUCCCCUGGAAAGAAGUAAACAAUCAUUUUUUAUACCUGAUGGCCACUAAAUAAUAAUGUUAAUAUAAUAAUUGCAUUAACAUUAGCGGUAGCAGCUUAUCUCGUCACUUGAAAAUGGAGAUGAUGAUGGUGAUGAUGAUAAGAUGAACCUGGUCAAGCAAAAAAUUCAUCACUCAGAGUCCACCCGUUUUACCAAAUUUUUCUUGCUAAUACCUUGAAGCUCAACCUUGAUUGUGUUCGUACCCAUCAUCAUCACCAUAACUGGACAACGAAUGGUUUGUGUUGGAAUUAAAAGGCAAAAGGUUGUUGAACAGAAAGUGAUAGUCAUUAGUACAAUGAUAAACGGAAUGGAUAAGGUUAAGGAACGCAAUCGAUAUUGACCUGAUAACAUUUCUGUUGUGUGAUGCUCUUUUUUUGAUCGUGUUAAUCAGGAAGAUGGAUUUGCCUUCCUUGAUUAUGCAAGUUACAAGAUGAUUGUCAUCACACGCAACAACCAUUCAAUCCACCCUCAGAAUCAUUGAAUAUUUGACCAAUCAUCAGCAUAGUUGAUUCUUGCUUUAUUCAAAUGACUUUCUUUUGAACAAGCUCUUGAACCUGUUGAGACUAUUGUUCUGGCUAUUAAAUUUAUAUUACAAUUUAGUUUUUUUUAAAGAAAUGAUGAUGACCAUAACAUUGAAUUCAAACGUGUCUGUCUGAAUGAUUACUUUGAUCAUUAAACUUGAUAGUUUGAAUCGUUAAUCUCUUCAAGCUGUGACUAAAGCGAUCUGAUAGGAAUUAUUGGAGUAAAUUGUUUAUCUUGCUAUUUUCCUGUUAUAAUUCAAAGUUAUCUUUGGAUCAGCCAAUAAAACCAUCCAUUACUCUAAUAAAUGAAUGAGAGUUGUUUACUUAUCGUCAGCAACUUGAUACAAUUAGAGCCCUCCCUUCAAAGAGAUCAAUGGCUAUGAUCAAAAUCAGCGUAAAAAUGAUAAGAUAAUAAUUUGCAAUAAAAACUAGUCUCAGUGUUUCCUCUGUUUCAGCUAGAGUUAUUGACGCAUAGAUUGUUGAAUACAUCAAAAUAUUAAAGUCGUAUUUGUGUUUUGUGCGUAAUUAUGGAGAUAUCAUUACACGGAAAGACAGUUUUGGUCACUGGAGCUUCAAGAGGAAUCGGUCGAGCUAUUACCGAGACUGUGGUCAAAGCCGGCGCAAGUAAAGUUUAUGCUGCUUGUAUUUUAAAAGACGAACUCAUCAAACUAUCCAAUGAAGUUCCCAAUGUUGUUCCAAUACAUAUUGAUCUGAGUAAAUGGUCAGAGACAGAAAGCAAAUUGAAGGAAUUAGAAGCUGUUGACUGUUUGGUUAAUAACGCUGGUGUCUUGUGGGUAACCGAACCAGGAUCAAUAACAGAGAAUGAUUUCGAUUCCAUUUUUGCUGUCAAUGUAAAAGCAGUUAUCAAUGUAACCCAGAUUAUAUCAGCUAAGAUGAUCGAGGCUGGUAAAAAAGGUUCAAUCGUGAAUUUGUCCAGUAUAACAGCUAAAAAGUCUUUUCCUCGAUUCAUGAUUUAUUGUACAUCUAAAGCAACUGUUGACCACAUAACCCACAAUUUCGCACUUGAAUUGGCUCCAAAAGGUAUUCGUGUAAAUGCCAUCAAUCCAUGGAUAGUUAAUACACAGAUGGGUAAUGCAGUGCCUAAAAAUGAAGCUGAAGCUGAAAUGUACCGUCAACACACACCACUGGGUAGAUUCAUUGAGACACCCGAGAUAGCAAAAGUUGUCCUGUUCCUUCUAAGUGAUUGGUCCUCAGCGAUUUGUGGUGUUACCUUACCUAUCGAUUGUGGAUUGAUUUUGUAACAAAUUGUUACAUUUGUUACAAAAGAAGCGUGGUGAAAAGAAUCAACCUUUUUCACUUGAUGCAUUUCAUCGGAUCAACAAGUUACUGUUGAAUUUAAGUAUGUGAUGAUCAAUAAUUGUUUUACUUGUUCUUUUGUAUCUGUUAGUCUGAUCUUUCUUCACAAAAGACAAUUCAAAUUGAAAUUCAAAACCUUUGCCUCUCUAUUGUGAUUAGAUUAUUUUCAAUAGUUUACAUUUUUGAAUGAUGAAUAAACUCGAUUCAAUAAUGCAUUUUUUAUCGAUAUUAACUUUUCAAAAGAGUAGUUUUGUUCAAAUCGAUAUUGAUUUUUUCUUGUAACUAAGGUUUUUCAAUUUAAUAAUAUCAAGGAUUCCAUUUUAUCUGAUUUUUAAUGUGAAUAAAGUCUUACUAUAA